AUUGAACGCUGGCGGCAGGCCUAACACAUGCAAGUCGAGCGGUUGAAGGGAGCUUGCUCCCUGAUUCAGCGGCGGACGGGUGAGUAAUGCCAAGGAAUCUGCCAAUUAGUGGGGGACAACGUUUCGAAAGGAAAGCUAAUACCGCAUACGUCCUACGGGAGAAAGCAGGGGACCUUCGGGCCUUGCGCGAAUAGAUGAGCGUAGGUCGGAUUAGCUUGUUGGUAAGGUAAUGGCUCACCAAGGCGACGAUCCGUAACUGGUGUGAGAGGAUGGUCAGUCACACUGGAACUGAGCCACGGUCCGGACUCCUACGGGAGGCAGCAGUGGGGAAUAUUGGACAAUGGGCGAAAGCCGGAUCCAGCCAUGCCGCGUGUGUAAAGAAGGUCUUCGGAUUGUAAAGCACUUUAAGUUGGGAGGAAGGGUUGUAGAUUAAUACUCUGCAAUUUUGACGUUACCGACAGAAUAAGCACCGGCUAACUCUGUGCCAGCCGCCGCCGUAA
rnacentral:rRNA from 1 species